UCAAAGGAAUUGACGGGGAGCACCACAACGGGUGGAGCUUGCGGUUUAAUUGGAUUCAACGCCGGAAAUCUUACCGGGACCGACAGCGAUAUGAAGGCCAGGCUGAAGACUUUGCCGGAUUAGCUGAGAGGUGGUGCAUGGCCGUCGUCAGUUCGUACUGUGAAGCAUCCUGUUAAGUCAGGCAACGAGCGAGACCCACGCCCACAGUUGCCAGCGUACUCUCCGGAGUGACGGGUACACUGUGGGGACCGCCGCUGCUAAAGCGGAGGAAGGAAUGGGCAACGGUAGGUCAGUAUGCCCCGAAUAUCCCGGGCUACACGCGAGCUACAAUGGUUGGUACAAUGGGUAUCUACCCCGAAAGGGGAUGGAAAUCUCCUAAAGCCAAUCUUAGUCCGGAUUGAGGGCUGCAACUCGCCCUCAUGAAGCUGGAAUCCGUAGUAAUCGCGUUUCAACAGAACGCGGUGAAUACGUCCCUGCUCCUU
rnacentral:rRNA from 1 species